CGCAUGCAGCACUGGCGACUGCACCGCACGAACACCUCAGCGGCAGCACUGUACUAUACGCACACCGCAGCAGAAACGUCGCACGCAGCAGCAGAGACUGCACGCACGCCGCAGUAGCAGCGCCACAUGCAGCAGCGGUGACUGCACCGCAAGCACGCCUCAACAGCAGCACCACACUGCAUGCCCGCAGCGGCGGCUGCGCGGCUGCACUGCACGCACUCCUCAGCAGCAGCAUCGAACUGCACGCACGCCGCAGCAGCAGCAGUGUCCCAUGCAGAAGCUGCGGUUGCACGCCCGCAGCAGCAACACGCAACUGCACGCCCGCGGCUGCACUGCAUGCACUCCUAGCAGCAGCGCCGCACGCAACAGCGGCGGCUGCGCGGCUGUAUGACCGCAGCAGUAGCGGCUGCACUGCACGCAACAACGGUGGCUGCGCGGCUGCACG
rnacentral:lncRNA from 1 species